AUUGAACGCUGGCGGCAGGCCUAACACAUGCAAGUCGAGCGGAUGAAGGGAGCUUGCUCCUGGAUUCAGCGGCGGACGGGUGAGUAAUGCCUAGGAAUCUGCCUGGUAGUGGGGGAUAACGUCCGGAAACGGGCGCUAAUACCGCAUACGUCCUGAGGGAGAAAGUGGGGGAUCUUCGGACCUCACGCUAUCAGAUGAGCCAAGGUCGGAUUAGCUAGUUGGUGGGGUAAAGGCCUACCAAGGCGACGAUCCGUAACUGGUCUGAGAGGAUGAUCAGUCACACUGGAACUGAGACACGGUCCAGACUCCUACGGGAGGCAGCAGUGGGGAAUAUUGGACAAUGGGCGAAAGCCUGAUCCAGCCAUGCCGCGUGUGUGAAGAAGGUCUUCGGAUUGUAAAGCACUUUAAGUUGGGAGGAAGGGCAGUAAGUUAAUACCUUGCUGUUUUGACGUUACCAACAGAAUAAGCACCGGCUAACUUCGUG
rnacentral:rRNA from 1 species